UGGAUAAAGUUAGAAAAUUAUGAUUUAUUUUAUAAUUAAUUUUUAUUGGUUAGUAAGUGAAUGAUAUAUGAUAUUAGAUUAAAUAAAAUUAUAUAAAGAGGGAGUAUUGUAAAAGAAGAUUAGGUAAAUAUUCUAAAGUAAAUUUAAAUUAUUGUACCUUUAGUAUCAGGGAUUAUUAAAAUAAUAUUCUUUUAUAUGUAGAAUUUCUCGAAGUUAGAAGAGCGAAUAAAAUUAUUAUAGUUAAUGUGGUAUAAUUAUUAUAAAUAUUUUAUUAGUGAAUAUAUUUUAGUCAAUUUUAAGGAUAUCUAGUUUUUUUUGAUUUAAAUUUAAUUUAGUUUUAAUUUUUAAUAUUUUUUAUUUGGAUAUGAAUAAUAUUAUUAAAUUAAAAAUAUAAGUUAUGGGAUAAUCUAUAAUUUUUUUUUAAAAUUAAGGUUAAAAAAUGUAGUUAAAUUAUUUGGAAUAUUUAUAGUAUUUGAAUUUAUUAGUAAAAAUUUAAUAAUUUAUAAAAGAAUGGUAAAAAUUUUAUAAUGAUUUUAAUUAAGUAUUUAAUAGGAUAAGAAAAUAUUUAUUAUAAUAAAAAAGGUAAAAUAAUAAUGAUAGUAUUAGUAAAAUAAGAUAAGAUAAUUAUUUUAAAAGUUAAUAGUAGAUAAAUUAGAUUUUAGUAAUUAGGCAAAAAAGUAAGUUCAUCUGUUUAAUAAAAACAUAGUUUUUUGAUUAUAAUUUAAGAUCGUUUCUGCUCGAUGAAUGAAGAUUUAAAUGGCUGCAGUAUUUUAACUGUACAAAGGUAGCAUAAUCAGUAGUUUUUUAAUUGAAAACUGGAAUGAAUGGGAGGAUGAGAUUUAUACUGUCUUAGAUUUAAAAGUUGAAUUUAUUAUUUAAGUAAAAAUACUUAAAUAUAUAUAUGGGACGAGAAGACCCUAUAGAAUUUUAUAUAAAUUAUUAAAAAAUAGGUUAAUUUAUGAGAGUUUAAUAAGUUUAUAUUUUAUUGGGAGGAUAAGUAAAUUAAUAAAACUUUAGUUGAGAUAUGAGUUCAUUGAUUUAUGAUAUUAGAGUUAAAUGAGUGGCUGUAUAAAGUUUAGAAAGAAUUAAUUACCUUAGGGAUAACAGCAUAAUAUCUUUAGAGAGAUCUUAUUAAUAAAGAUGAUUGUGACCUCGAUGUUGAAUUAAGAUAAAAAUUAAAUGAAGGAGUUUAAUAUUUAAGUCUGUUCGACUUUUAAAAUCUUACAUGAUUUGAGUUUAGAUCGGUGUGAGCCAGAUCGGUUUCUAUCUAUAUAAAAUUUAAAUAUAUUUGUACGAAAGGACUUUAUAUUUUGAUUAAAUUAAUAAGAUAAAUUAUAUUAUUUUGGCAGAUUAGUGCAUUAAAUUUAGAAUUUAAU
rnacentral:rRNA from 1 species